GUCUGGGUGGCUCAGUCAGUUAAGCAUCUGACUUCAGUUCAGGUCACGACCUCGUGGUUCGUGGGUUCAAGUCCCACGUCAGGCU
rnacentral:tRNA from 1 species